rnacentral:rRNA from 1 species
CCUACGGGAGGCAGCAGUGGGGAAUAUUGCACAAUGGGGGAAACCCUGAUGCAGCGACGCCGCGUGAGUGAAGAAGUAAUUCGUUAUGUAAAGCUCUAUCAGCAGGGAAGAAAAUGACGGUACCUGAGUAAGAAGCCCCGGCUAACUACGUGCCAGCAGCCGCGGUAAGACGUAGGGGGCAAGCGUUAUCCGGAUUUACUGGGUGUAAAGGGAGCGUAGACGGCAGUGCAAGUCUGGAGUGAAAGGCGGGGGCUCAACCCCCGGACUGCUCUGGAAACUGUACGGCUGGAGUGCAGGAGAGGUAAGUGGAAUUCCUAGUGUAGCGGUGAAAUGCGUCGAUAUUAGGAGGAACACCAGUGGCGAAGGCGGCUUACUGGACUGUAACUGACGUUGAGGCUCGAAAGCGUGGGGAGCAAACAGGAUUAGAUACCCGUGUAGUC